rnacentral:rRNA from 1 species
GACGAACGCUGGCGGCGUGCUUAACACAUGCAAGUCGAACGGGCCCGCUCUCUUUUUUGGGGGUGGGUUGAGUGGCGAACGGGUGAGUAUCACGUGAGUAACCUGCCCCCUGCUCCUGGAUAACUGCUUGAAAGGGCGGCUAAUACGGGGUGUGCCGGCUGGUCCGCAUGGGCCUGGUCGGGAUAGUUUCAUCUUCGGGUGUUUCGGUGGGGGAUGGGCUCGCGGCCUAUCAGCUUGUUGGUGGGGUGAUGGCCCACCAAGGCGGUGACGGGUAGCCGGACUGAGAGGGUGGGCGGCCACACUGGGACUGAGACACGGCCCAGACUCCUGCGGGAGGCAGCAGUGGGGGGUAUUGCGCAAUGGGCGGAAGCCUGAUGCAGCGACGUCGCGUGAGGGAUGGAGGCCUUCGGGUUGUGAACCUCUUUCUCCGGUGGUGAAGGCCCUGUCCGUUGCGGCGGGGUUGACGGUAGCCGGGUAUGAAGCGCCGGCUAACUACGUG